rnacentral:rRNA from 1 species
UGGGGAAUUUUGCACAAUGGGCGCAAGCCUGAUGCAGCGACGCCGCGUGAGGGAUGAAGGCCUUCGGGUUGUAAACCUUUUUCGCUCAUGGUCAAGCCGCAGCUUUGGGUUGUGGUGAGGGUAGUGGUAAAGAAGCGCCGGCUAACUACGUGCCAGCAGCCGCGGUAAUACGUAGGGCGCGAGCGUUGUCCGGAAUUAUUGGGCGUAAAGGGCUUGUAGGCGGUUGGCCGCGUCUGCCGUGAAAUCCUCUGGCUUAACUGGGGGCGUGCGGUGGGUACGGGUUGACUUGAGUGCGGUAGGGGAGACUGGAAUUCCUGGUGUAGCGGUGGAAUGCGCAGAUAUCAGGAGGAACACCGGUGGCGAAGGCGGGUCUCUGGGCCGUUACUGACGCUGAGGAGCGAAAGCGUGGGGAGCGAACAGG